CAGCUCCCUGCCCUUUAAUUCAAUCACACUACUUGGAAAUAAUGAAAGUUGGGUGACGAUUCUCCCUGAUCCAAUUUGCCCGUGCUUUUAAGCCUUUUUAACUGAUCAUAUACCUUAGGCAUAAAUUGAGAUAGUGUGGUUCCCCACCGCCCCCCUCCUUCCCCGGAUUUUUUUUUCUUUUUUUUUUUUUUAUUGUGUGCGCGCUUGGUUAGGGAGAGAAACCUUGAUGUCAUAGAGAAACCUGUUUUGUAAGAGCGUUACACGCUCAAUUUAACAACAAGUCUACCCCCCGAAGUGCAUGAAAUGCUAUAAAGGACUGGGACAUUAGCAGACUCGGGCACCCUGUAAAAUAGAUGCUCCAGUGGGAUGGCAGAAGAAGCUGCAGGAGGAGAGGAAAACAGGAAGAAUCCUUGGUGGUGUUCAGAGCCAAGCAGAGAUGAACUGGGCUUUUAUUUACAGCCUCUGUGACUUAACUCUGCAAAACCAGCCAGUGAUAUGAGAGGUCUCUAGGUGCACGUGUUCAAC
rnacentral:lncRNA from 1 species